GCCGUUAUAGCUCAGUGGGAGAGCGUGAGCCUGAAGAAUAAGCGGGACAAAGGAGGAGAAAAGUGCAUUACCUUUGUCCUCUUCAGAAAAGCUUAAGGUCGUCUGUUCGAUCCAGACUGACGGCA